UACAGCCAUAUCACAUUCAAACACCGGUUCUCGUACAAUCAACGAAGUUAAGCAACGUCGAGCCUGAUCAGUACCUAGAUGGGUUACCACUUGGGAAUACC